UACGUAGGGUGCGAGCGUUAAUCGGAAUUACUGGGCGUAAAGCGUGCGUAGGCGGUUCGUUAAGUCUGCUGUGAAAGCCCCGGGCUCAACCUGGGAAUGGCAGUGGAUACUGGCGGGCUAGAGUGUGAUAGAGGAUGGUGGAAUUCCCGGUGUAGCGGUGAAAUGCGCAGAUAUCAGGAGGAACACCGGUGGCGAAGGCGGGUCUCUGGGCAACAACUGACGCUGGAGGAGCGAAAGCGUGGGGAGCGAACAGG
rnacentral:rRNA from 1 species